rnacentral:rRNA from 1 species
UACGGAGGGUGCGAGCGUUGUCCGGAAUCAUUGGGCGUAAAGGGCGCGUAGGCGGCUUGUUGCGUCGACCGUGAAAACCCGGGGCUCAACUUCGGGCUUGCGGUCGAUACGGGCGGGCUAGAGUUCGGUAGGGGAGACUGGAAUUCCUGGUGUAGCGGUGAAAUGCGCAGAUAUCAGGAGGAACACCGGUGGCGAAGGCGGGUCUCUGGGCCGAUAUUGACGCUGAGGAGCGAAAGCGUGGGGAGCGAACAGG